UACAGAGGUCUCAAGCGUUGUUCGGAAUCACUGGGCGUAAAGGGUGCGUAGGCCGCACGGAAAGUCAGAGGUGAAAUCCCGGAGCUCAACUUCGGAAUUGCCUCCGAUACUCCCGUGCUUGAGGACUGGAGAGGAGUCUGGAAUUCACAGUGGAGCAGUGAAAUGCGUAGAUAUUGUGAGGAACACUAGUGGCGAAGGCGAGACUCUGGACAGUUCCUGACGCUGAGGCACGAAGGCCAGGGGAGCGAACGGG
rnacentral:rRNA from 1 species